AGAGUUUGAUCCUGGCUCAGAAUCAACGCUGGCGGCGCGCUUAACACAUGCAAGUCUGCACGAGAAAGUGGAGCAAUCCAUGAGUACAGUGGCGUACGGGUGAGUAACAUCGGUGGAUCAUCUACCUCAUUGAUGGGGAAUAACCCUGGGAAACCGGGGCUAAUACCGCAUAAGCCUGAAAAGGGAAAGCAUGNAAUGCGUCGAGAGAGGAGUCCGNGGCCGAUUAGCCAGUUGGUAGGGUAAAGGCCUACCAAGGCAAUGAUCGGAUAGCCGGCACUGAGAGGGCAUCACGGCUCACACUGGCACUGAAACUACGGACCCAGACUCCUACGGGAGGCAUGCAUGUGGCGGAAUCUUGCACAAUGGAGGAAACUCUGAUGCAGGCGACGCCGCGUGAGCGAUGAAGCCCUUCGGGGUGUAAAGCUCUUUCGGCAGGAACGAUAAUGACGGUACCUGCAGAAUAAGCUGCGGCUAACUACGUGCCAGCAGCCGCGGUAAUACGUAGGCAGCAAGCGUUGUUCGGAAUUACUGGGCGUAAAGAGUGUGUAGGCGGUAUCUCUAAGUUCCGUGUAGAAAUCUUCCGGCUCAAGCUGGGAGGGUGCGGCGGGAAAACUGGAGGGCUCGAGUAUGGGAGAGGAAA
rnacentral:rRNA from 1 species